AUUGAACGCUGGCGGAAUGCUUUACACAUGCAAGUCGAACGGCAGCACGGGGGCAACCCUGGUGGCGAGUGGCGAACGGGUGAGUAAUACGUCGGAACGUGCCCAGUCGUGGGGGAUAACGUAGCGAAAGUUACGCUAAUACCGCAUACGAUCUACGGAUGAAAGCGGGGGACCGUAAGGCCUCGCUCGAUUGGAGGGGCCGAUGUCAGAUUAGGUAGUUGGUGAGGUAAAGGCUCACCAAGCCGACGAUCUGUAGCUGGUCUGAGAGGACGACCAGCCACACUGGGACUGAGACACGGCCCAGACUCCUACGGGAGGCAGCAGUGGGGAAUUUUGGACAAUGGGCGCAAGCCUGAUCCAGCCAGUCCGCGUGCAGGACGAAGGCCUUCGGGUUGUAAACUGCUUUUGUACGGAACGAAAAGGCUCUGGUUAAUACCUGGGGCUCAUGACGGUACCGUAAGAAUAAGCACCGGCUAACUACGUGCCAGCCGCCGCCGUAA
rnacentral:rRNA from 1 species